UACAGAGGUCUCAAGCGUUGUUCGGAUUCAUUGGGCGUAAAGGGUGUGUAGGUGGCGCCGUAAGUCGGGUGUGAAAUUUCGGAGCUUAACUCCGAAACUGCAUUCGAUACUGCGGUGCUUGAGGACUGGAGAGGAGACUGGAAUUUACGGUGUAGCAGUGAAAUGCGUAGAUAUCGUGAGGAAGACCAGUGGCGAAGGCGGGUCUCUGGACAGUUCCUGACACUGAGACACGAAGGCCAGGGGAGCAAACGGG
rnacentral:rRNA from 1 species